CGGCCAGCCACAACCCCAAGAUCAAGGGGUCGUUCUUGACGAAGAAACAGGACCAGGCAGCCAGGAAGAUCAUGAGGUUCCUGAGACGCUGCAGACACAGGAUCAAAGAGCUGAAGCAGACGAGGGAGCUGGAGAGGAGAGGACUGACCACCUAAAAAUUUAACUCACUUCAUCCAGGAGGAGAGGAGGAGAGACAGACGGGCGAUGGAGGAAGAGAGACAGACGGUUGACGGAGGAGGAGAGACAGACGGGCGACGGAGGAGGAGAGACAGACGGUUGACAGAGGAGGAAAGACAGACGGGCGACGGAGGAGGAGAGACAGACGGGCGACGGAGGAGGAGAGACAGACGGUUGAUGGAGGAGGAGAGACAGACGGGCGACGGAGGAGAGACAGACGGGUGCCUUACCCCACACCCAAACUUGUUUCUUCAUUUCCUCUUCCUCUUUGAAUUUUUAUAUAUCUGUCUGUCUGUCUGUCUGUCUGUCUGUCUGUCUGUCUGUCUGUCUGUCCACAUCAUCUGACGACACACUCCUCCAUCUCGUCCCUCCUGAGAGACACAGCUGAGGGUAAAACCAGUUUCUCUGCCUCCCAGAAUCCUUUGCUGUUGUGGCGUGAGGACUGAGAGACAGUUUGAGGGUGGUCUGAACAAUCAGAAAUGAGAUGUUGGUGGUGUGUACAUGAGUCUAACAAAGUACUUUAAAUCUAUUUAAACACAAUCACAUAUUUACAAACGUAUAGAAAUCUAAAUAUAUAUUCUCAUGUGGACUUUAUAGAUGCUAUGGAUGUUUUUAUUUAUUACAGCAUGAACUGUUAAUGUGACCGUAUGACUGUGUGUGUGUGACUGUGUGUGUGCUGACUGUAAGGUCGAGUCUUAAGGAACCCCUCUGACCUCUGACCUCAGACUGAGGAUGUAAUCAUUGAUGCUUCUUUGGAUACCUCGUGUUUAAACCAAUACAAUCUCAAUGUUAACGAUUGUUAGAACAUCUGUUUCAUGAGACGGCCAACAAACCCAAAAGGAAAAUAUAAACGUUUUUGUAGAGUUGAGACCGUGACAAUUUCACCACAAAGAGACACUAAAAGACUACAAAGAGACAUUAGGACUACAAAGAGACACCAAGGACUACAGAGAGACAUUAGGACUACAAAGAGACACCAAGGACUACAGAGAGACAUUAGGACUACAGAGAGAGACAUUAGGACUACAAAGAGACACCAAGGACUACAGAGAGACAUUAGGACUACAAAGAGACACCAAGGACUACAGAGAGACAUUAGGACUACAAAGAGACACCAAGGACUAUAGAGAGACAUUAUGACUACAGAGAGAGACAUUAGGACUACAGAGAGAGACAUUAGGACUACAGAGAGAGACAAAGGACUACAAAGAGACAUUAGGACUACAAAGAGACACCAAGGACUAUAGAGAGACACAAAGGACUAUAGAGAGACAUUAGGACUACAGAGAGACAUUAGGACUACAGAGAGACAUUAGGACUACAGAGAGACAUUAGGACUAUAGAGAGACAUUAGGACUACAGAGAGACAUUAGGACUACAAAGAGACACCAAGGACUACAGAGAGACAUUAGGACUACAAAGAGACACCAAGGACUAUAGAGAGACACAAAGGACUAUAGAGAGACAUUAGGACUACAGAGAGACAUUAGGACUACAGAGAGAGACAUUAGGACUACAGAGAGACACAAAGGACUAUAGAGAGACAUUAGGACUACAGAGAGACAUUAGGACUACAGAGAGAGACAUUAGGACUACAGAGAGAGACAUUAGGACUACAGAGAGACACAAAGGACUAUAGAGAGACAUUAGGACUACAGAGAGACAUUAGGACUACAGAGAGACACAAAGGACUACAGAGAGACAUUAGGACUACAGAGAGACAUUAGGACGACAAAGAGACAAAGGACUACAGAGAGACACAAAGGACUAUAGAGAGACAUUAGGACUACAGAGAGACACAUUAGGACUACAAAUAGACAUUAGGACUACAGAGAGACACAUUAGGACUACAAAUAGACAUUAGGACUACAAAGAAACACAUUAGGACUACAAAGAGACACAAAGGACUAUAGAGAGACACAAAGGACUAUAGAGAGACAUUAGGACUACAGAGAGACAUUAGGACUACAAAUAGACAUUAGGACUACAAAGAGACAAAGGACUACAGAGAGACACAAAGGACUACAGAGAGACAUUAGGACUACAAAGAGAGACAAAGGACUACAAAGAGAGACAAAGGACUGCAGAGAGACACAUUAGGACUACAAAUAGACAUUAGGACUACAAAGAAACAUAUUAGGACUACAAAGAGACACAAAGGACUACAGAGAGACACAUUAGGACUACAAA